rnacentral:rRNA from 1 species
GUGGGCCAAUUUUGGUAAGCAGAACUGGCGAUGUGGGAUGAACUAAAAAGCCAGUGAAAGUGUCUAACAAUGAAGGGAAACCACCCUUUGUGAUUGUCACAAUUCAUGAGAAACCAUAAAAGGUAUUAAUUCAUAGAAACAGUAGGACGGUGGUCAUGGAAGUCGAAAUCCGCUAAGGAGUGUGUAAUAACUCACCUGCCGAAUGAAUUAGUCCUGAAAAUGGAUGACGCUGAAAUUGUGGACUUGGACUGGCUGUUGAGAACAAUCGACGGAUGAAUUGGUUUUCAUUUCAGAGAGGAUGUUCUCAACUGUAGAAAGAUGUGAUCAUAAUGUUGAAAUGUAAGAGUGAUUUUAUAUGAAAUUGUGAUUAGUACAGAUCUUGGUAGUAGUAGCAAAUAUUCAAGUGAGAGAAAGAAUCCAUUAAGAUUCUGUGUGUAAAACUUGAAGACUGAAGUGGAGAAAGGUUCCAUAAAAACAGUAAUUGAAUAUGGGUGAGUCGAUCCUAAGUGAUAGGUUAAACACCAUCUGAAAGUGAAAGGAAGCGAAAGGGAAUCAGGUCAAAAUUCCUGAACAACGAUAGCUUUGCAUCGAGGCAACUCCAACCAACAAAUUUGUGAUUCAGAAAAAUAAAUAAAUAGUCUUUAAAGAGUUUUCUUUUCUUUUUAAUCUCUCUCAUUGUUGAAAUGAAACCUGGAAGUAAAUCAAUUAGAGAAGGGUUUUCAUGGAGAGUAAAGCAGUCUCUUUUUGUG